rnacentral:rRNA from 1 species
UAUUGGAAGCUUGCUUCCGAUAGGCGUCGACCGGCGCACGGGUGAGUAACGCGUAUCCAACCUGCCCAUCACUUGGGGAUAACCUUGCGAAAGUAAAACUAAUACCCAAUGACGUCUCUAGAAGACAUCUGAAAGAGAUUAAAGAUUUAUCGGUGAUGGAUGGGGAUGCGUCUGAUUAGCUUGUUGGCGGGGUAACGGCCCACCAAGGCAACGAUCAGUAGGGGUUCUGAGAGGAAGGUCCCCCACAUUGGAACUGAGACACGGUCCAAACUCCUACGGGAGGCAGCAGUGAGGAAUAUUGGUCAAUGGACGAGAGUCUGAACCAGCCAAGUAGCGUGCAGGAUGACGGCCCUAUGGGUUGUAAACUGCUUUUAUAAGGGAAUAAAGUGAGUCUCGUGAGACUUUUUGCAUGUACCUUAUGAAUAAGGACCGGCUAAUUCCGUGCCAGCAGCCGCGGUAAUACGGAAGGUCCGGGCGUUAUCCGGAUUUAUUGGGUUUAAAGGGAGCGUAGGCCGGAGAUUAAGCGUGUUGUGAAAUGUAGACGCUCAACGUCUGCACUGCAGCGCGAACUGGUUUCCUUGAGUACGCACAAAGUGGGCGGAAUUCGUGGUGUAGCGGUGAAAUGCUUAGAUAUCACGAAGAACUCCGAUUGCGAAGGCAGCUCACUGGAGCGCAACUGACGCUGAAGCUCGAAAGUGCGGGUAUCGA